rnacentral:lncRNA from 1 species
CCAUAGAGGCUAGUCUUGUCACCUGCCAAUCCAUUAUUAUCACAAGCACCACCGCAGCCACUGCUCUUCAUUACACUUCCACAACCGCCACCACAUCCACCACCGCAACCACCACCACAGCCACUGGUCUUCAUUACACUUCCACAACCGCCACCACAUCCACCACCGCAACCACCACCGCAGCCACUGCUCUUCAUUACACUUCCACAACCGCCACCACAUCCACCACUGCACCCACCUCCACAGCCACCAGAAUUUUCACCACAUAAAGCAUCUCCACAGCUGCCUCCACAUCCACUGCCACAACCUCCAGCUUUUUCUGCAGCACCACCACAGCCUGAAGCACAACU